rnacentral:rRNA from 1 species
CCCGCACAAGCGGUGGAGCAUGUGGUUUAAUUCGAUGCAACGCGAAGACCUUACCUGGGCUUGACAUCCACGGAACCUGCUGGAAACAGUGGGGUGCCCUUCGGGGAGCCGUGAGACAGGUGCUGCAUGGCUGUCGUCAGCUCGUGUCGUGAGAUGUUGGGUUAAGUCCCGCAACGAGCGCAACCCUUGUCUUUAAUUGCCAUCAUUCAGUUGGGCACUUUAAAGAGACUGUCGGUGUUAAACCGGAGGAAGGUGGGAUGACGUCAAGUCCUCAUGGCCUUUAUGCUUAGGGCUACACACGUGCUACAAUGGGUGGUACAAAGAGAAGCCAACUCGCGAGAGCGCGCCAAUCUCAAAAAGCCAUCCUCAGUUCGGAUUGUAGGCUGCAACUCGCCUACAUGAAGUCGGAAUCGCUAGUAAUCGCGGAUCAGCACGCCGCGGUGAAUACGUUCCCGGGCCUU